rnacentral:tRNA from 1 species
UGGCUUGUAGCUCAGUGGUAGAGCAGUCGGCUGUUAACCGACUUGUCGUGGGUUCGAUUCCCACCUUGCCAG